UCUACGGGUGGCAGCAGUGAGGAAUAUUGGUCAAUGGCCGAGAGGCUGAACCAGCCAAGUCGCGUGAGGGAAGACGGCCCUACGGGUUGUAAACCUCUUUUGUCGGGGAGCAAAGCGAGUCACGUGUGACUCAUUGAGAGUACCCGAAGAAAAAGCAUCGGCUAACUCCGUGCCAGCAGCCGCGGUAAUACGGGGGAUGCGAGCGUUAUCCGGAUUUAGUGGGUUUAAAGGGUGCGCAGGCGGAGGUGCAAGUCAGCGGUCAAAUUGCGGGGCUCAACCCCGUACUGCCGUUGAAACUGCAUCCCUUGAGUGCGCGAGAAGUAUGCGGAAUGCGCAGUGUAGCGGUGAAAUGCUUAGAUAUUGCGCAGAACUCCGAUUGCGAAGGCAGCAUACCGGCGGCGAUCUGACGCUGAGGCACGAAAGCGUGGGUAUCGAACAGGAUUAGAUACCCGAGUAGUC
rnacentral:rRNA from 1 species